rnacentral:piRNA from 1 species
UUGAAAACAACCUACUGGGUCUUCUUUAC